UACAGAGGUCUCAAGCGUUGUUCGGAUUCAUUGGGCGUAAAGGGUGCGUAGGCGGCGCGGUAAGUCGGGUGUGAAAUCUUGGAGCUUAACUCCGAAACUGCAUUCGAUACUGCCGUGCUUGAGGACUGGAGAGGAGACUGGAAUUUACGGUGUAGCGGUGAAAUGCGUAGAUAUCGUAAGGAAGACCAGUGGCGAAGGCGGGGUCUCUGGA
rnacentral:rRNA from 1 species